ensembl:lncRNA
CUGACAAGAUUGAAGGGAGCGCAACCCAGGAACUGGGGGGAGAAAAAUAAAAAAAAAGGGGGGGGGGGGGGGAAGGGAGGGAGGGGGGAGCGGGCGGGCAAAGGGGUAGAGGGAGAAGUAACCCCGGCUAAAGUUUGUACAAUUAGAACCCAUCCGCUUAAAGUAGACUUUGUGCUUUCGGCUUCUCCUUUCCCUUCGCUGCGAGGAUGUGUGUUGUAAGAGGAGCAAUUUGCCCACUGGCCUGGUCUGUCCUUCCUCCCACUGUCCUGGAGACCAAGAAGGAGACUGGUGAAUUGUCCCCUCUUUUCCCAUCUGAACCUCUGGAGCUGUACCUCGUAGGAUUUUUGCAAUGUGAGGCUGGAGAGCAGGGAUGGUGAUCACAAGGAGGGAAAGGGUCACCUGAAACUUGCAAAGGUUUAGAGACAUCUGAAAUUCCUGGGCGCACUCUGCAUCAGAGAUUGGCUGCCUGCCUCUUUUGUGGGAGGAUAUAAGAGAGAACAGAGACCUUUGCGUGAAACACUUCUGUCAGCUGAAGUCAGCGAUGAAAGUCCUAUAGAAAAGAGCCUCAGACCAAAUAAAAACUUGAUUUCCUAAGAGUGACACUGCCUGCAAAUGGAGGCAGGCUGAGGUCCUCAACUGGCCGGCGCUUUGGACGCGUUCUGCUUACUUUAGUCACACAAAAUGACGUAUUGAUGUAAGCUUCCAGGAUCUAAACAGGCAGCCCUUUCAUAGGCAAAAGCCCUAAUGAAGUCACUGGCAAGCAGCCUUGCUGGCCUAGGGCCUGCAGGCUAUUUCCCCAGUCAAUACACUGGACCUAAUCUUAUAACUCUUGAGCAUCGAACUCCAUGUGUAUUUUCCGCAAGUAUUUGUUCUCUUUCUGCAAAAGUGCAAGAUCUAUGUGCUGGGGAGAGCAGUGUCAGCGAGCAGCUGCUUUUCUUUCAGUGUGAGUUGUUUGGGAUAUAGACUACAUCUGCUACUGGUUGGGCAAAACCAAACCACAAAGCUGAGACGUGGAACAGCAAGAACCUGGACUGACAAAUAAAAAUCUCCCCUUGUAAGUGCACAUUUGAACACAAAACAAAGAACAGUUAAAAGCAUAAGUUUCAUAUUGAGACAAUGUAUAUUUUUACCUGGUAAGUUUCAGGCUGCUUCUAAUUUAGUGGAACACAUUAAUUGAUCUUGCAAUUCUACUGAGUCAAUGGAGCUGUCAUAGUGAAGAGUUAGUGCAAGAGCAGUCCAUCCAGUUUCUCAAUAACCAGUUGAAUUUGUUUUUCUCAUUUCUGAGAGUCUUAGAAAUAUAAAUUGGAAUGACAGCAUCAUUUAUUUCUAUGGCUCCAAAGCUGUCAUCAAACAUGACACUGACAUGUAAAAAUCCAUGUUUUAUUUUAUGCUUUAUUUUAGGUGAGGAAGCUGCAGGCUUUCUUUUCCCAAAUUUCUAAAUAAAGUUUUGCCAUGACAAAUAUGAUGCCCAUGCAAAAAAAGAAAAGGAAGCUUUUAUAGUUGAAAAUUUUCUGUCUACUUCUCCACACUCCCCAGAAAAUGAUAGAAUGAAUACAAUCCUUCUAACUAAGCUAAAAUUUCCUUUUUCUCUUUAUUUCUCUUCUCUUUCUUUCUUUUAUUUUCCUUCCUUCCUUCCUUCCUUCCUUCCUUCCUUCCUUCCUUCCUUCCUUCCUUCCUUCCUUCCUUCCUUCCUUCCUUCCUUCCUUCCUUCCUUCCUUCCUUCCUUCCUUCCUUCCUUCCUUCCUUCCUUCCUUCCUUCCUUCCUUCCUUCCUUCCUUCCUUCCUUCCUUCCUCUCUUUCUCUCUUUCUUUAUCCCUCUCUUUAUCUUUCUCUCUUUCUUUCUCUUUUCUCUCUUUUCUCUCUUUCUCUUUCUCUUUUCUCUCUCUCUCUCUCUUUCUCUUUCUCUCUCUCUCUCUCUUUCUCUUCCUCUUCCUCUUCCUCUUCCUCUUCCUCUUCCUCUUCCUCUUCCUCUUCCUCUUCCUCUUCCUCUUCCUCUUUCUCUUUCUCUUUCUCUUUCUCUUUCUCUUUCUCUUUCUCUUUCUCUUUCUCUUUCUCUUUCUCUUUCCUUCUUUCUUAAAAAAAAAAAAAAAAAAAAAGGCUUUUGCCUCUGUCUGUCUCAACCUUUGAUUCCUUCAGAUCCAGACUAAGGCCACAGGUGGGCUCACAGCUCAGCCUGACACAGAACUGGAAGCGCAGCACCUUGCAUAUAUAUGCACUUUGACAGAGAAUGGUAACACUGUGAAAAAUGCCACAAGUAGGUCCUAUAGGUACCAUGAAGCAAUUCUCUAAAAGAGGAAUGAGACACCUUUUUACAGGCUGGAUGUCCUGUACAAAUUGCAACAGAGGCAGUGGUUUUGUGAGAGAGAAGUUUGGAGUCUCAAGCACAGGCACUGAAAUCGUGGCCCUUAUUAAACUGUCUCUUUGGGAAGUGACCUCCUUCAAGACUCUGCAUCUGUGUCAUUGUCACACCUGAUACGCUAUAAAUAAAUCUAUGAUGUUAGAUGCCAAUCAACUGAUCUCAGAUCCUUAUCACAACAAACUUACAGUGCCUUAUUCAAUGUAUUCAAGGAGUUAUCUUUCUGCCUCUUAUUUUAAGAUGAAACCAAUCCAUUGUAACAAGAAGUCACUUAUAGAGUGAAAAUAUAAGUUCAAAGGUUAAACAUAUGAGACUCUUGCCAUUGAAGACACCAGUGUGAAAAGGUGCUCCAUUCUUAUGGAGCUCUGCUGAGGAGGUAGGAGAGGAUUUUCCUUGUGCUUACCACAGGAGUUGUGCAUAGUUUAAUUAACAUGUAUUAUCAUAUUAAGGAUUUUCUUUUUCAUAUUAAAGCCAAGUACUCCACUUGAGACUGGGGCAAUCAUGCACUCAAAUCUGUGUCACAGCCCUGCUGGCAGUCAGAGCUUCUGCAAUAACAUCGGAUGGCAGAGUCAGAGUUCAGGAAAGCAAGAAAAACAUUCUGAAGAGCUGAAAACAUCAAGCACUCAUUCAGGAUUCAUAUGUGCAAAUCUAUCUACGUUCAAUCGGCAUGCAUGAGGUGAAAAAUGUCAUCAUUUUCUUUUUCAUUUGUUUUUAUUUUUUCCCUUAUUUAUUUAUUUUUUUUCCAUUUUAUCGGCACUGCUGAGAGAAGUCUUCCUUACAAUGGGAAAAAAUAAACAACAAACCAUGUGAGAUGCAAAUAGGGAAGGGGGGGGAGGGAGUGAUGAACCAUUUUCUCAACCAACCUGAGCACAGUAUUUUGUUCAGUGUAAUACAUUUUGUAGAAACAGUUGGAAAGAGUUCACGUCAUUCUUUCAUGCCUCCUUUCUAAAAGUUCUGACUAGGUCAGGAAUUGCUAUAGAUGAGGGAAAUUCUGCUUACCACGUAACUGAGCUGGGGCAAUGAGCACAUGGUGACCAUGAUCUUCCAAGGUCUAAAGUCAGCAGAGCAGCUGCAGCAGAGGAGCAGCGUUUCCUGCCUCAUGGGGUGACCCAUGUACUGAGGCUGUGUGUGGGCACAAGGCAGGUGUGCCCAUGUGAAGGUGAAGGCUGCUUGAGGCGUGUGCAAGAAAGAAGUUGUUGCACCAGGGGGAGUUUAGUUUAGCACAGCUUGAAUUUAAAUAGACUUCAGACCAAUCUCCCCUGAAAAACAUGAAAGAAAUCAAACAUGGAAUAUAUCUGCUGAUGAAACUUCUGUGGGUGGUAGUUUCAGUGGCUCCUUUCAGCACAGGUGUGCUCCAUCACUGCUUCAGUAUGUAGUCAAAAUUGUAUCCUUUUUCUGAGAGUUAGCUUCCUAAACAUUCUGCAGUGCAAUUUGUAUUCCAGUUCUUCUCUAUCCUCUUCCUGCCAUGAAUAUGUUCCUCUGCUCUUCAGUGUUCUCUCCUUUGCACACGCUUCCUUGGAUCUUCUGCCCCUGUCCCAGCCUGGCUGAUGCCUCUGACUCCCUUGCACCUGAGCUGUAAUGGAAAUAACAGCUUUGCUUAGAAGAAUCCAAAACCAUGGUGGUUGAAGUCUUGAAUCUUCCUGGAUGAGGAAGGAGGAGCAUGUAACCUCACAUUACUUGAGAGCUAUUUGCAGCUGUAGGUCACGGAGUUUGCACAGCACCUGCCUAGCAUGCUCUUCACAUGCUGGAAGAAGCACUUCAGUGGUGCAAAGUCAGAGACUCUUAACAAUGAAGCAAGGGACAGAUGUGAUACUUCCAUGCACCUGUAAGAACGUCACACGUGAAACCAUCCCAGUUUUUGCUAAGUCAGUGGCAGAGCUGCAGAGAUUAGUUACCUGGGUUUGACAAGGCAGCAAACAGAUUGCUACAGCUCUGAGAAAGAAGGUGAUAAUACGGUGCCAUAAUUUCUGUUUAAAUACACUUCUGAAUUGCUACUGCAUUGCACAGAAUCAAAAAAUGGCUUGGAUUGGAAGGGACCUUGAAGCCCAUCCAGUUCCCACCCCCUGCCAUAAGCAGGGUUGCCACUCACUAGAUCAGGCUGUGUUUCUCUGACAACAUGCAGGAAGGAAAAUAUUUCAAUUUAUAAAAGAAAAAUAAAACAAGCAAACAGGUUGCUAGACCCCGCUAACAGCAUUAGAACAAAUUCAGUUGUAUCAGGUCUUCCUCUGGGUCAAGAUCUUUCUCCAUCUUAAGGCCAAAGAUGCAUCUAAGCAUAGCCUGUCAGCCGAAGGACAAACAUAAGCAAGGCACUGACAUGUCAUCAUCAAUUUCCCACUCUCUCCAGAUUGUUUCUGUCCAUCCCGUGCUCUUCAAAUGGCAGUGCAGAGCCCAUAUGCUGCAGUGUCGGGGCAAAGCUCCCAGCACAGCAUCUGGUCAGGAGGCGGUUGGUGUGUCAGCUUUGGGGCGGCUGUGGCUUUUGUCAUGUAUUUUGGGCUGGUGAUGGGACUGCCCUGUCACCCCACACACCACUUUCUCUUGACUCCCCUUGGAUUCCAAGGAAUUGGCCCGUUUGUGUUUGUCAAUACGCUCCUGCUUAAAUCCCUUGUGAGAUCUCUAUACAGCCCCCGAUUUAUGGUGAAAUAAUGAGAAUUUCUUAAUGUCUGCAUGUGUGUUUUUGACAGAAGCAUGUGGGUUUACCUUAAAAUGGACCGCGGCCUAGUAGGUACAGGUCACUGUGUACUGGGAUUUCAUUCCCAGAAAACUCUUGAAUGCUCUUUGAAAAGGCCCCCUUUUUUUUUCCUUGCUCAUGAGUGUAUCAGCCACUUCUUGAUGAAUAGGAUCCAUAAUGCCCGGAGAUAUUUGAAAUCAAGCAUAUGGUCCAUUGAAUAUGCAUGUAAGCAGGCAGGGAGGGAGCUCGUGUGUGAUACUAGCAAAGCGUGUCUGGAAGUUCAGCAGAGCAGAAGUCGAACUGAGCAUUUCAGCAUGCUUUAGGAAGCAUAACUUUCUGUUUCCUCUGGUAAACUAGGUAAUAGAACACAGUCAAAAGCAUAUCUGGGGGUUUUAACAACUCAGAUAUUUGGUUAUAAACAGAAUUAUGCUGUUUUGCUUCUUUUGUAAAAUGCUUAUUUUUACAAUAAAAAUAUAAAGACCAUCAAGUCUGAAGUUGUUAAAAAAUACAUAUAGAUAACUUCUUCAACUGAGAAAUGGUCAAUUCUUCACUAGGGAAGAAUCUCAGAUGACUCUUCUUCGCAUUUAAAUGAAAAGAGUGCUUGGAGAAUGUGCAUUCUGGUCUUCACGUUCUUCCUGAAGAUUUGAUUAAAGUUACACGAUUGCAGAAAUCAUGUGUUAGACGCUGGGCAAAUAAACAGGGCUGGCUGGAAGCCUGCUCAGCUGCCUUAUGGCAACGGCUAUGUUCAGUAGUGGAGGAAGACACACGAAGGCUCAAACCGCAGUGGUGUUUCUGAGUUGAUCCCUUCUCUAAUUUGUCCUUCCUGUAUCCUUGCAGCCCUCUUUGUGCCUGCCAUCAUGUGGAAGGUGCUUCAGAAGAGCUAGUAUUUAUGUUAUCCUGAGGCCCUAACCACCCAAAUCCCCCCCAUUGCUGAGUUCUACUACCCACUUUCUGGGUGAAGUGGAGCAACCUUUUUUGCACUACAAAUGAAGUAUCCAUAAGGACCAAAGUCGGGGUGGGAUUUUCCAGCAAAGAACAUGCUUCUCAUGUAUAGAAGAGAGCACAGAGACUUCUGUUCUGUGAGAUAAUUUUUCCUGGUACAUGGUGUAGAGUCAAGGCCGAUACUUCUCAGUGCUGGUGCUGGAUUUCCACUAAUUUUGCAUCAGGGUCUUCCUCUGAAUCCCCCGUGGGAGCUGUCUGGUACUGCUUAAAGGGAUGGUGUUUUUUGUAAUUAUUUAAUGAAUGUUCCAGGUUUUUAUCCUGUGCUUGUUAAACCUUCAUUCCAGUGAAAGUGUAAUCCCAUAUUACUGAAUUUGGAUAAAAAGUGAUCGAGAAUAAACAUUAAUUCCUCAGUAAAGACAUUGGAGUAAAUAUGAUUAGCCUAAUUUUAGUUUUUCUGGUUUGAAAAUAUAGACCCAAGUGCAGAACUGAGCAUUUUGAUUAGAUUAAAAACAUUUAAAAGUAACACAGCAUGCAAAGGGGGCCGUGAGUCUCCAUUAGACUUGUUAUGUUGGCUUAGAAACUUCAUGGGGUAUCUCUUUCUCCAGUGAAUUCUAGGAAAAAUCUCUGUUAAUUAUUAUCAGUUUCUUUCUUCAAUUCCAAUUUUUGAAUAUUUUUUUUUUUUUGAAUAAGGAAGUGACAGUGAAUUGGAGCAUCUUUAAUUUAAACAAGUUUUUUUUAGCCCUUAGCUGAUGUUGUUGUAUGCUCUCUCCUUAAUCCCUCUGUGAGUUUCCUCCUGCUUUGUGAGACACAGGAGUCCCAACAUUAAAAAAAUAAAAUAAAAUAAAAUAAAAUAAAAUAUAAAAUAAAUAAAAUAAAAUAAAAUAAAUAAAAUAAAAAGUAAAAAAUAAAAAGAAAGCUGAAGCCUAUUUCAGGUUACUAUCUUCUUAUUCCUUCUUUCUAGUUCUCUUUACCUACACAGUCAGCCAUGAAUACUGCACCUUCAUUUAAAUUUUCAGCCAUUGAAUCAUGAUCACUUGAAGACCCAGGAACCCUGGAUGUAACUCAAGGGGUUAUGCUGUUUUUACUGUUUGGCACCUGCUCAGGAAAGGGAACUUAGCUUAGCAGUUAAAGCAUA